rnacentral:rRNA from 1 species
CGAACUUGAGAGUUUGAUCCUGGCUCAGAACGAACGCUGGCGGCAGGCUUAACACAUGCAAGUCGAACGGGCGCAGCGAUGCGUCAGUGGCAGACGGGUGAGUAACGCGUGGGAACGUACCUUUCGGUUCGGAAUAACUCAGGGAAACUUGAGCUAAUACCGGAUACGUCUUAGGGGGAAAGAUUUUUUAGCGAAAGAUCGGCUUGUGUCCGAUUAGCUAGUUGGUGAGGUAAAGGCUCACUAAGGCGACGAUCGGUAGCUGGUCUGAGAGGAUGAUCAGCCACACUGGGACUGAGACACGGCCCAGACCUCUACGGGAGGCAGCAGUGGGGAAUAUUGGACAAUGGGUGUAAGCCGGAUCCAGCUAUGCUGUGUGAGUGAUGAAGGCUUUAGGGUUGUAAAGCUCUUUCGCCAGGGACGAUAAUGACGGUACCUGGAUAAGAAGCCCCGGCUAACUUCGUGCCAGCAGCCGCGGUAAUACGAAGUGGGUUAGCGUUGUUCGGAAUCACUGGGUGUUAAGCGCACGUAGGCGGAUUGUUAAGUCAGGGGUGAAAUCCGAGGCUCAACCUCGGAACUGCCUUUGAUACUGGCGAUCUAGAGUCCGGGAGAGGUGAGUGGAACUGCGAGUGUAGAGGUGAAAUUCGUAGAUAUUCGCAAGAACACCAGUGGCGAAGGCGGGUCACUGGCCCNNNACUGACGCUGAGGUGCNNNAGCGUGGGGAGCAAACAGGAUUAGAUACCCUNGUAGUCCACGCCGUAAACGAUGGAUGCUAGCCGUUGGGGAGCUUGCUNUUCAGUGGCGCCGAACGCUUUAAGCAUCCNGCCUGGGGAGUACGGCCGCAAGACGCGCAGAACCUUACCAGCUUUUGACAUGUCCGGUAUGGUCGUCAGAGAUGACUUCCUUCCGCAAGGGGCCGGAACACAGGUGCUGCAUGGCUGUCGUCAGCGCGUGUCGUGAGAUGUUGGGUUAAGCUUGYCCUUAGUUGCCAUCAUCUAGUUGGGCACUCACACAGGACUGCUGGUGAUAAGCCGAGAGGAAGUUGGGGAUGACGUUAAGUCCUUAUGGCUCUUACAGGCUGGGCUACACACGUGCUACAAUGGCGGUGACAAUGGGAAGCGAAGGGGUGACCUGGAGCGAAUCUCCAAAAGCCGUCUCAGUUCGGAUUGCACUCUGCAACUCGAGUGCAUGAAGGUGGAAUCGCUAGUAAUCGCAGAUCAGCACGCUGCGG